rnacentral:rRNA from 1 species
AUUGAACGCUGGCGGCAUGCUUUACACAUGCAAGUCGAGCGGCAGCGCGGGGGCAACCCUGGCGGCGAGCGGCGAACGGGUGAGUAAUGCAUCGGAACGUAUCCUCGAGUGGGGGAUAACCCAGCGAAAGUUGGGCUAAUACCGCAUGAGCUCUGAGGAGGAAAGCGGGGGACCUGCGAGGGCCUCGCGCUGGAGGAGCGGCCGAUGUCCGAUUAGCUAGUUGGUGGGAUAAAGGCUUACCAAGGCGACGAUCGGUAGCUGGUCUGAGAGGAUGAUCAGCCACACUGGGACUGAGACACGGCCCAGACUCCUACGGGAGGCAGCAGUGGGGAAUUUUGGACAAUGGGGGCAACCCUGAUCCAGCCAUGCCGCGUGAGUGAAGAAGGCCUUCGGGUUGUAAAGCUCUUUCGGACGGAACGAAAUGGGCGGGACUAAUACUCCGGUCUGAUGACGGUACCGUAAGAAGAAGCACCGGCUAACUACGUG